GAUGAACGCUGGCGGCGUGCCUAAUACAUGCAAGUCGAGCGAACAGACGAGGAGCUUGCUCCUCUGACGUUAGCGGCGGACGGGUGAGUAACACGUGGAUAACCUACCUAUAAGACUGGGAUAACUUCGGGAAACCGGAGCUAAUACCGGAUAAUAUAUUGAACCGCAUGGUUCAAUAGUGAAAGCCGGUUUUGCUGUCACUUAUAGAUGGAUCCGCGCCGCAUUAGCUAGUUGGUAAGGUAACGGCUUACCAAGGCAACGAUGCGUAGCCGACCUGAGAGGGUGAUCGGCCACACUGGAACUGAGACACGGUCCAGACUCCUACGGGAGGCAGCAGUAGGGAAUCUUGCGCAAUGGGCGAAAGCCUGACGGAGCAACGCCGCGUGAGUGAUGAAGGUCUUCGGAUCGUAAAACUCUGUUAUUAGGGAAGAACAAAUGUGUAAGUAACUAUGCACGUCUUGACGGUACCUAAUCAGAAAGCCACGGCUAACUACGUG
rnacentral:rRNA from 1 species